GACGAACGCUGGCGGCGUGCUUAACACAUGCAAGUCGAACGGAAAGACCCUGCUUUUGUGGGGUGCUCGAGUGGCGAACGGGUGAGUAACACGUGAGUAACCUGCCCUUGACUUUGGGAUAACUUCAGGAAACUGGGGCUAAUACCGGAUAGGAGCCCCUGCUGCAUGGUGGGGGUUGGAAAGUUUCGGCGGUUGGGGAUGGACUCGCGGCUUAUCAGCUUGUUGGUGGGGUAGUGGCUUACCAAGGCUUUGACGGGUAGCCGGCCUGAGAGGGUGACCGGCCACAUUGGGACUGAGAUACGGCCCAGACUCCUACGGGAGGCAGCAGUGGGGAAUAUUGCACAAUGGGCGGAAGCCUGAUGCAGCAACGCCGCGUGCAGGAUGACGGCCUUCGGGUUGUAAACCGCUUUCGCCUGUGACGAAGCGUGAGUGACGGUAAUGGGUAAAGAAGCACCGGCUAACUACGUG
rnacentral:rRNA from 1 species